GACAGAGGGUGCAAGCGUUGUUCGGAAUCAUUGGGCGUAAAGGGCGCGUAGGCGGUUUUGUAAGUCGAAUGUGAAAGCCCAGGGCUCAACCUUGGAAGUGCAUCCGAAACUGCGAAACUUGAAUCCUGGAGAGGGUGGUGGAAUUCCCAGUGUAGAGGUGAAAUUCGUAGAUAUCGGGAGGAACACCAGUGGCGAAGGCGGCGACCUGGGCCAAUAUUGACGCUGAGGUGCGAAAGCGUGGGGAGCAAACAGG
rnacentral:rRNA from 1 species